UACAGGGGGUGCAAACGUUGCUCGGAAUUAUUGGGCGUAAAGCGCGCGUAGGCGGCUACUUAAGUCGGAUGUGAAAGCCCUUGGCUCAACUGAGGAAGUGCACCCGAAACUGAGUGGCUAGAGUACGAAAGAGGGUCGCGGAAUUCCCGGUGUAGAGGUGAAAUGCGCAGAUAUCGGGAAGAACACCCGUGGCGAAGGCGGUUCUCUGGGACGGUACUGACGCUGAGACGCGAAAGCGUGGGGAGCGAACAGG
rnacentral:rRNA from 1 species